rnacentral:lncRNA from 1 species
AGAAAGAUUUCCAAAGAGGGCUAGGGAUCUAACUCGGGAUAGAAUGCCUACCUAGCAGGGGCUGUAAGUCGGUGAUAAAAUGCUCACCUAGCAUUCAUGUGGACUUGCGUGUUAUCCCUAGCACUUAAAAUAAACAGGAGACAAAUCUUAAAUUCCUAGUUUACUGUGCUGGGCUUCUCAUCUCAAGGUCAGGCUUAAAACUCAGUGAAAUAUAAGGACUGCUUUAAAGAUGUUUUUUAUAAUCAUAAAUAUAGAUGGUGUGUGUAUGUAAAUAAAGAACCUUUGGAAUGGAUAACACACAAAUAAGAAUCAGUUUGCUCUUCGAUGACAGUAGCUCCUUGGAAGGGUUUUAAGUGGCCUAAGCUAUUGGAAUUGGACACUCAGUUAUUAGGAUGAAUAUUAGGAGAAAGAUAAGUUUUUAGGUUUUAAAAGUGUGUGUGUGUGUGUGUCCAUCCACAGCGGCCAGAAGAAAGUGUUAGAUCCCCAGAAGCUAUAGUCACAGCUAGUUGUGAGCCACCUGGGAACCAAACUCAGCUCCUUUGGGAUAGCAGGGACACUUUCAAACUGCUGAGCCCUCCCUCUAGCCUGAAAACUAAAUUCUUAGAAGGAAACGUGCUUUUUUUUGUUUUUGUUUUUUGUUUUAUUUUGUAUUUGUUUGUUUGUUUGUUUUGAGACAGGGUUUCUCUGUAUAGCCCUGGCUGUCCUGGAACUCACUUUGUAGACCAGGCUGGCCUCGAACUCAGAAAUCCGCCUGCCUCUGACUCCCAAGUCCUGGGAUUAAAGGUGCGUGCCACCACCACCUGGCGGAAAAGUGCCUUUUCACUGGAGACUGGGUUGUGAAUUUGAGCUGAGUCCACAGAGGAUGUACCUACCCCCUGGAGGUACACUCUCCGCCCAUGUAAGUUUCUGAAAACCUGAUGAGGAAGCAUUCAAGCAAGUCGUUUGCCAACCGAUUUGGCACCUGCACCCAGAACCCAGAAUACUAUUCUGAUGGCUCAGUCACUUGUCCUUCCCAGUGACUCUCUGGUUCACAACCCCCACCCCAGCCUCCCACAAUGCUAGGGAGCCACUCUAGUUCCUUGCGCAUGCUCGGGGCGUCUGUCAUUGAUCCAGGACCCUAGCCUUCCUUUUUGCUUUUUGUUUUUAGAAUAAGGUCUAACUAAGUUGCCCAGGUUGGCCUUGAACUUCUGUAUCUCAGUUAGACCUCGAUCUUUGAUCCUCCUGCCUCAGCCUCUGGGGGAGCUUGCACCACCAGGCUCUCCCGGAGCCACUUCCUUUUACCAGAAGGCCUUCAAAAAAGAUUGAUAACGCUUUCCAUGUUGAAAAUGAGUUGCAGCACGGAAUUCCCAGUACACUUGGUCAUUUAUCUGGAGUGCCAUUCCUGCCUUGAGUUACAAACUGUGGGGUUCCUGACGCAUCAGAAACAGAGCUCCGAACAUGAUAGGCAUUCUGUAAAUAUUCCUUUUCCAAGUGG